CACAUUUUUAAUUCUAGUUAUGUAACAAAUAGUGAUUUAAAUGAUUAAAAUAGUGAUUUAUUUUAUUAGUUUAUAUUGUUUAAAGAAUAUUUCUUCGUUAAAAUGGACAACGCAUCAGUAUCAAAGGGCGUUUUUGUACAUAAAGGUGCAUAUAAAAUUGGAAAUAAAAAAACAAAAUUUGAACAACCAGAUUAUAUAAAUGAACCAUGGCACCUUACUUAUAAAGAAACGUGGGAUGGCAUUCAAAAUGCCAUGGAGGAUGUAAGAUUAAGUAUGUUCCAAGAAAUUUUAAAUAAUUUAGAAUCUUUUGUUACUAAAGUCAAAAAUAAACCAAUAGAACAACUUGAUGAAAUACAGGCAGCUAUUGUGUUAGCAGGAGUUAAUGUUUCUGAUCAUAAAGAAAUGUUUCAAAGAAUAGUUUCUAAGUUAGAAGUGAAAACAAAGCAUAUAGCAGUUUUAUGGAGCAGAGACUCAAAUAAUAUAAAAGAUAUUACAGAAAAAUCAAUUUAUCAAUUGAUAAAUAAUGGGGAGGAUGAGGAUACACAUAUUAAAAAGAAUCAAUGUCAUAUGAGAGCUUUAAAAGCAUGGCACCAAGAGCAUUGUGAUCAAAAUGAUCCUCUUAUUAUAAUAUUAACUGAUUUUGAAAGUAUCCCUGCUGCAGUAUUACAUGAUUUCAUUUUAAUUUUAAGUGCAUAUGCAAAUUCGAUGAAAUUUAUUCUUAUUUUUGGUGUUGCAACCACUUUAUUUGCCAUUCAUAGAUCUUUGACAUAUGAUGUUACAUCAAAGUUAAAUGUUCAAGUAUUUCAAACAAAAAAACAAAUUGACGUAUUAUCAGAUGUAUUAGAAAAUACUGUUUUUGGUACAAAUAUUCCAUUUAAGUUGACUGGACGCGCGUUCCAAUUAUUAACAGAUAUCUUUUUAUUUUAUGAUUUUUCUGUACAAAAUUUUUUUCUAAGUUACAAGAUAUGUAUGAUACAACAUUUUUAUGCAAAUAAUGUAAAUUCUCUUUGUUGUCAACCUCACAAAAUAAAAAGUAGGAUGUCUUCAUUGACAGAUGAAGAUUUGAAUGAAAUUAAAAAAUUGCCCUCUAUAGAAAAACAUAUUCAACAAUUGACAAAAGAUGGGAACAAAGAUGAAUUACUUGAAAAUAAUAAAUUUAAGGAAAUAUUGAUCCAAGUUUUAAACAAUUUCCAUCAAUAUAUGCAUCGGUUUUUGUUAAUACUCAGAUGUUUGCACGAUUUCAUGUCAACAUUACCAAAUGCACCAAUGGGUAAACAGCUACGUGAAUUUUACACAACAAUGGUUUAUUUGAACAAUCUGAAAGAAUCUCAAGAGUACAAAGAAUGUCUGCAAUUAUUGACCUUUUUAUCUAAGCAGGAACUUCUCUCAAAAUUGAACUCUUUGAUAGCAAUUAUCACAAGUUCAAAAGAUUCAGAUAUGAUAAAAGUCAAAAAAGAUUUGCAGAGUUUUGAGAAAAGAAUUGAGGAAUCCAGUUUAGAAGUUGCAGAAAAACCUGUAGAUAUUGUUUCUACGGGUGAAAGACUCAGUCGACUUCAGUUGAAAGAGAAAUUGUUGAAAAUGUCUAAAACACACUCUAAAUCGCCUUAUAAAAUAGCACAGCAGGAUUUGAUCGAUUAUUUGGACCAGAAAGUAUUUUCUGUUUAUUUGAUUAAUCCUAAUUAUAUACCAGGAAAUGAGAUAUUUUGUUUCAACGAUGGCAAUUUAGCGAAGCAACAUAUUCGAGGAUCUUUGAGAUCUGCGAUUCAUACUGGACUAAACAAUCCACAAGUGUACUUAAACUGCGGGUGUUGCAAAUUGGAGAACGACGACGCCAUUCCGUCCACGCUGCCUGACCUCAGUAUAAUUUACAAGCUGCACUUGGAAUCCAGGAAACUGAUCAAUAUGUACGACUGGCUCCAGGUGAUACGAAAAGAUUAGUAGAGCCAGGCACUCGAUCAGGAAGAUGGAUCGAUCAAAUAAAAAAAGCUAUAAAAGAAGCAAAGCUGUUACUUGUAAGCUCGCUUUGAAGCAAAUGGUUCAUCCAAAAAACGAUAGCUUUUUAUCAUAAUCUUCCCUGAAUCUCUAUUCUGCACUGGGAAAGAAAGAUUUGUACGGUGUUAAGGAGAAGCAAUACGAGGAAAGAGAUAAGUGUUAGACAGUAAUGUCUCUGUGGUAGCAGAAUGUCAGGAACGUGCCAUAGGUUUCGGAGACGCUGAAGCGAACAACUUUGUCCCCACAGGUCCAGCUUGUUAAUAGCGAUCCAUCGAGCUUUCCAUGGGGGUUGUUUGAAACUUUAACUAGUUUCUACUUGCUCGUAGUCGAAGCUGCAACCAUAUGAGUUUGAAAAAUUACAAAAUUGAAUUUUACUAUUUGUAAAAAUUAAAAUUGUUGAAAUAACAAGGAAAUUGUGCAUCCUGGAUAGAUAUCAAGGUAUCGCAGAAUUUUUUAUCGUUCAAAAAUUUAGAAGGGAAGAAUUUGAACAUGAACAAGAAAUAACCAUAGAAGAUGAGAAAAUAUGUAUGUACCUGGCUAUGUAUCGAGUUUUACACUAUACUGGCUCGAAUGUACUUGCACCUGAGCCAAUUUGCACAUCAAGAAUUUAUGGCUUCCUUGCUAAUGAAAGGCUCGCAACACAUUUUCUCUUGGAGGAAUCAAAAAAUAAGAAGGAAGAAGAUGUAAUAAAGGAUUUUACAUUUUAAUCGAACAAUAUUGUGACAUCUUGGGAUCGUCUCGAAAUGUAUUCACCCUUGGCUUCGUGUGCGUCCACGUCGAGACGAAAAGUCUGCGAAUAAACCCUCCAACGUCCGGCUAGGAUUUGAGAAUAUUUUUAUCGGGUCUGGUUCUCUUUUUUUUUUCUUUCUUUCUUUCUUUUUUCAGAUUUUUUUUCGUUUUCUUUUUUUUCCAUUGGCCAACAGCUGGGAAUCGGGGCACACGUGCUAGCAACGACGCGAGACUGUUCCACUGGCAGAGUUGGUCGAGGACAAUCACCAGGAUGCGGGAGUCGUCAGCUAGAUGGCGUCACUAACGAGUUCACGCGAUUCCCGUAUCACAACCAUAUAUAUAUAUAUAUAUACCAACAAUUUGCCCAAAAAUAACCACGAGGCGAGAAAUCUAAAAACCGAGGCGAACGAAUCGCGCGUAAACACGAUCUCAUCAUCGGCAAGCAGAUUCCCGGAAACAGAUCUGCAAACACACACCGUUUCAUGUCCGAUCAUAUCUCACAAUUCCCCACGUAUGCUCUGCCCACCACCACCAUCACCAACAGCAGCUACAGGCAGUUGCGCAUAAUUGGGAAUCGAUGAGAGAGAAUGCAACCGGUCGUGAAACGAACGAACCGCGAGGAUGAGCGGGUAAAGUGGGUGGGUUGGGUGGAUGACAAUGCAAAAGAGACGAAGAGAGAGAGAGAGAGAGGGGGGGGAUCGCUUAGAUUUAAGUGACAUCGAGCACCGCACAAUGGUGCUGAUUGCCGAAAUUAGCUGGCGCAGCCUCUGGCAACGGGCGACACGGCUCACGAGGCUCGUUGCAGAGAUGGUGGUGGUUAGGAGAUGGAGAGAAAGAAGAGAGUUGGAGAGAGCGGAGUGGAAAAGAGAAGGAUCGAUGGGAGAGGAACGGGAGAUGCAGGUGGAGCGAGCGAGACAAACAGAUUUGUAGGACGAAGUUCCGCGUGGUUGGUAUGGAUUACGGAGACAAUUGCGACUUCCUCUCUGCAACGCAGACGUUACGUGUUUGCUGCGAGCAACGUCCCAGAGCUCUUUAAAAAUCGGCUCGAUUUUUCAAACUGGCGAGAAGGAGAACCUCUUCCGCCGAUAGAUGCGUAUUCUUUGGAUUACAAGUUUCUGGAGUGGAGUGUUCGAGAAAUAGAGGCGAGAAUUUGUUCGAUAUUGGUGGAAGAAGAAGGAGGAUGAUUAGAGGGAUGGAGGAUUGUGGAUGAUUGAUGAGAUAUCAACGUAUCGCCACGCCAUUAUGUUUGCAUUACUGCGCCAAUUACACGUGCAUUUUCCACGCCAGAUUUCUCGACGAGGAGAUCUAAGCACGUGAAGAUAAUGCAACGUUGAAUUCUAGUCGCGUGAAAAGAACUUUAUUGACUGUCUAUAAAUUAUAUUUUAGGCAGACGGUGUUUCGCGUGACUUGGUAAUGUUCGAGGCAGCGACAGACACGAAAUAUUAUAAAUAGAUUUCGAGAUUGAGAGACUAUGUUUGAACUGUCUCUCUUUUAAGUAAGUAUUUCGAGACACGAAAUCACGGUAUAUUCGAGCAGGAUCGAGAAUAGAAUCGAAUGGAGGGGGAUCGAUCAAAGUGGAUUUGAAAUUUUAUGAGUAUUCCAAUAGGAUUUCUAUCUUUGAAGCUUUAUAUUUACGAGAAGAUUUUCAAAGAUGUCUAAGCGGUUUGAAAAAAAUUUAAUUUUGCCAAAAAAAAUUCCAAUAUUACUAUUGAGCAAUAUUCGAACUUGGAAAACUUGUUGAAUUUAUUUAAAAUAAAUAUUGGAUCAUUCGUCGUGUGAUUCUCUGAAUAAAUGGCGAAAAAGGAGGGAAACGAGGAGGAGAUUUUAGAAAAAGAAACAAUCGUUCCAUUACAAUAACGAUACGGUCAAUCAAACUG